rnacentral:rRNA from 1 species
AGUGAACGCUGGCGGUAGGCCUAGCACAUGCAAGUCGAACGGCAGCACAGUAAGAGCUUGCUCUUACGGGUGGCGAGUGGCGGACGGGUGAGGAAUACAUCGGAAUCUACUUUUUCGUGGGGGAUAACGUAGGGAAACUUACGCUAAUACCGCAUACGACCUACGGUUGAAAGCAGGGGAUCUUCGGACCUUGCGCGAUUGAAUGAGCCGAUGUCGGAUUAGCUAGUUGGCGGGGUAAAGGCCCACCAAGGCGACGAUCCGUAGCUGGUCUGAGAGGAUGAUCAGCCACACUGGAACGGAGACACGGUCCAGACUCCUACGGGAGGCAGCAGUGGGGAAUAUUGGACAAUGGGCGCAAGCCUGAUCCAGCCAUACCGCGUGGGUGAAGAAGGCCUUCGGGUUGUAAAGCCCUUUUGUUGGGAAAGAAAAGCAGCAGGUUAAUACCCCGCUGUUCUGACGGUACCCAAAGAAUAAGCACCGGCUAACUUCGUG